GUCGAGCUUGCUCACAGGCACAUCAUAUCCAUAACACCUGUGCACUUGUCGGAUGGCUUAGUGAAGACCGCAAGGUUGGAUCUAUCCAUCUACUUUACAUAACAAUUCUGUAACAAAUGUAGUCUUAUUAUAACAUAAUAAAACUUUCAACAACGGAUCUCUUGGCUCUCGCAUCGAUGAAGAACGCAGCGAAAUGCGAUAAGUAAUGUGAAUUGCAGAAUUCAGUGAAUCAUCGAAUCUUUGAACGCACCUUGCGCUCCUUGGUAUUCCGAGGAGCAUGCCUGUUUGAGUGUCAUGAAAACCCUCAACCCUAGAUUGGUUAAAACCUUUCUUUGGUUUGGAUUUGGACGUUUGCCGAUGAUAAGUCGGCUCGUCUUAAAAGUAAUAGCUGGAUCUGUCUCGCGACAUGGUUUGACUUGGCGUAAUAAGUAUUUCGCUAAGGACAUCUUCGGAUGGCCGCGUUGCAGGACUAAAGACCGCUUUCUAAUCCAUUGAUCUUACGAUUAAUAUUCUUGACAUCUGGCCUCAAAUCAGGUAGGACUACCCGCUGAACUUAAGCAUAUCAAUA
rnacentral:rRNA from 1 species